UACGUAGGGUGCAAGCGUUAAUCGGAAUUACUGGGCGUAAAGCGUGCGCAGGCGGUUAUGUAAGACAGUUGUGAAAUCCCCGGGCUCAACCUGGGAACUGCAUCUGUGACUGCAUAGCUAGAGUACGGUAGAGGGGGAUGGAAUUCCGCGUGUAGCAGUGAAAUGCGUAGAGAUGCGGCGGAACACCGAUGGCGAAGGCAGCCCCCUGGGCUGAGAUUGACGCUCAGGCACGAAAGCGUGGGGAGCAAACAGG
rnacentral:rRNA from 1 species